GUGUGUGAAGAAGGCCUUCGGGUUGUAAAGCACUUUUAUCAGGAACGAAAAGCGGAGGGCUAAUACCCAUCCGUGCUGACGGUACCUGAGGAAUAAGCACCGGCUAACUUCGUGCCAGCAGCCGCGGUAAUACGAAGGGUGCAAGCGUUAAUCGGAAUUACUGGGCGUAAAGCGUGCGUAGAUGGCCUGUUAAGUCGGAUGUGAAAGCCCCGGGCUCAACCUGGGAACGGCAUCCGAUACUGGUGGGCUAGAGUGCGGUAGAGGAGAGCGGAAUUCCCGGUGUAGCGGUGAAAUGCGUAGAGAUCGGGAGGAACAUCCGUGGCGAAGGCGGCUCUCUGGACCAGCACUGACGUUGAGGCACGAAAGCGUGGGGAGCAAACAGGAUUAGAUACCCUGGUAGUCCACGCCCUAAACGAUGUCGACUGGAUGUUGGGCACACUUUGGUGCUCAGUAUCGAAGCUAACGCGUUAAGUCGACCGCCGUGGGGAGUAUGCGCGCAAGCGUG
rnacentral:rRNA from 1 species